rnacentral:rRNA from 1 species
CCCUUAGAUGUUCUGGGCUGCACGCGUGCUACACUGAUAUUGCCAAUAUGUCAUUCUUAUCCGAAAUGGAUUGGGUAAUCAAGUAAUGAAAUUUCACGCUUGGAAUCGGUAAUUGCAAUUUUAUCGUGAACGAGGAAUUCCUAGUAAGCACUAGUCAUCAGCUAAUGUUGAUUAUGUCCCUGCCCUUUGUACACACCGCCCGUCGCUACUACUGAUUGGGUGUUCAAGUGAGAUGCUUAGACCCUUGUUGCAUGGUUCAUUAUUGUGCUCCGAAAGGAAAAAGUUUCAAGCUUGAGUGUCUAGAGGAAGUAAAAGUCGUAACA